rnacentral:rRNA from 1 species
GAUGAACGCCGGCGGUGUGCUUAAUACAUGCAAGUCGUACGCACUGGCCCAACUGAUUGAUGGUGCUUGCACCUGAUUGACGAUGGAUCACCAGUGAGUGGCGGACGGGUGAGUAACACGUAGGUAACCUGCCCCGGAGCGGGGGAUAACAUUUGGAAACAGAUGCUAAUACCGCAUAACAACAAAAGCCACAUGGCUUUUGUUUGAAAGAUGGCUUUGGCUAUCACUCUGGGAUGGACCUGCGGUGCAUUAGCUAGUUGGUAAGGUAACGGCUUACCAAGGCGAUGAUGCAUAGCCGAGUUGAGAGACUGAUCGGCCACAAUGGAACUGAGACACGGUCCAUACUCCUACGGGAGGCAGCAGUAGGGAAUCUUCCACAAUGGGCGCAAGCCUGAUGGAGCAACACCGCGUGAGUGAAGAAGGGUUUCGGCUCGUAAAGCUCUGUUGUUGGAGAAGAACGUGCGUGAGAGUAACUGUUCACGCAGUGACGGUAUCCAACCAGAAAGUCACGGCUAACUACGUGCCAGCAGCCGCGGUAAUACGUAGGUGGCAAGCGUUAUCCGGAUUUAUUGGGCGUAAAGCGAGCGCAGGCGGUUGCUUAGGUCUGAUGUGAAAGCCUUCGGCUUAACCGAAGAAGUGCAUCGGAAACCGGGCGACUUGAGUGCAGAAGAGGACAGUGGAACUCCAUGUGUAGCGGUGGAAUGCGUAGAUAUAUGGAAGAACACCAGUGGCGAAGGCGGCUGUCUGGUCUGCAACUGACGCUGAGGCUCGAAAGCAUGGGUAGCGAACAGGAUUAGAUACCCUGGUAGUCCAUGCCGUAAACGAUGAGUGCUAGGUGUUGGAGGGUUUCCGCCCUUCAGUGCCGGAGCUAACGCAUUAAGCACUCCGCCUGGGGAGUACGACCGCAAGGUUGAAACUCAAAGGAAUUGACGGGGGCCCGCACAAGCGGUGGAGCAUGUGGUUUAAUUCGAAGCUACGCGAAGAACCUUACCAGGUCUUGACAUCUUGCGCUAACCUUAGAGAUAAGGCGUUCCCUUCGGGGACGCAAUGACAGGUGGUGCAUGGUCGUCGUCAGCUCGUGUCGUGAGAUGUUGGGUUAAGUCCCGCAACGAGCGCAACCCUUGUUACUAGUUGCCAGCAUUAAGUUGGGCACUCUAGUGAGACUGCCGGUGACAAACCGGAGGAAGGUGGGGACGACGUCAGAUCAUCAUGCCCCUUAUGACCUGGGCUACACACGUGCUACAAUGGACGGUACAACGAGUCGCAAACUCGCGAGAGNAAGCUAAUCUCUUAAAGCCGUUCUCAGUUCGGACUGUAGGCUGCAACUCGCCUACACGAAGUCGGAAUCGCUAGUAAUCGCGGAUCAGCAUGCCGCGGUGAAUACGUUCCCGGGCCUUGUACACACCGCCCGUCACACCAUGGGAGUUUGUAACGCCCAAAGUCGGUGGCCUAACCUUUAUGGAGGGAGCCGCCUAAGGCGGGACAAGAUGACUGGGGUG